rnacentral:rRNA from 1 species
UAGUGGCGAACGGGUGAGUAAUACAUCGGAACGUACGUGUAGUGGGGAGUAACGUAGCGAAGUUACGCUAAUACCGCAUACGAUCCACGGAUGAAAGCAGGGGACCUUCGGGCCUUGUGCUAUACGAGCGGCCGAUGUCUGAUUAGCUAGUUGGUGAGGUAAAGGCUCACCAAGGCGACGAUCAGUAGCGGGUCUGAGAGGAUGAUCCGCCACACUGGGACUGAGACACGGCCCAGACUCCUACGGGAGGCAGCAGUGGGGAAUUUUGGACAAUGGGCGCAAGCCUGAUCCAGCCAUGCCGCGUGUCUGAAGAAGGCCUUCGGGUUGUAAAGGACUUUUGUCAGGGAGCAAAACUUACUGGUUAAUACCUGGUGAGGUUGAGAGUACCUGAAGAAUAAGCACCGGCUAACUACGUGCCAGCAGCCGCGGUAAUACGUAGGGUGCAAGCGUUAAUCGGAAUUACUGGGCGUAAAGCGUGCGCAGGCGGACUUUUAAGCCAGAUGUGAAAGCCCCC